UGGGGAAUUUUGCGCAAUGGGGGAAACCCUGACGCAGCAACGCCGCGUGGAGGAUGAAGUAUCUUGGUACGUAAACUCCUUUCGAUGGGGAAGAUAAUGACGGUACCCAUAGAAGAAGCCCCGGCUAACUUCGUGCCAGCAGCCGCGGUAAUACGAGGGGGGCAAGCGUUGUUCGGAAUUAUUGGGCGUAAAGGGUGCGUAGGCGGUUUGACAAGUCUUAUGUGAAAUCUUCGGGCUCAACCCGAAGUCUGCAUGAGAAACUGUUGAGCUUGAGUAUGGGAGAGGUGAGUGGAAUUUCCGGUGUAGCGGUGAAAUGCGUAGAUAUCGGAAGGAACACCUGUGGCGAAAGCGGCUCACUGGACCAUAACUGACGCUGAGGCACGCAAGCUAGGGGAGCAAACA
rnacentral:rRNA from 1 species